ACCGAUUUUCUAGGGCCAGAUGAUAUUUUAGAUGAUUUUUAUUUUUGAGCAAAAGUUCUACAAUCACUCAUGGAAUCAGAUAUUAUAAAAUUUAGAACAUUUUCAUCGGUAAUUUCUCACAUAAUUUUUUAUUGACUAAAAAAUAUAAAAUAAUAAUAAAGUAUGAGAGAGAUAAGAGAGAGAUUGAGAAUUGUUUUUAUGCAGAGAAAUUUUAGAGUAAUGAUUGAGAGACUAUAUGUAUAUGUAUGUGUUUAUAAUUGGACAGAAACUAAAUCAUAAUAAAAUAUUAUUAUUAUUAU
rnacentral:sRNA from 1 species